UUUAAAUAUUAUGGUGACACCGCGUUGAAAUGCGAUCUCGAUAUUUUGAUUAUACACGUGUAAGAAAAGGAAGAUAGAAGGAAAUUAUAAUUUUUACACGUGUCGAAAGAAUUAAUUUUAAAAUAUGAAAAUUUGAGGGAGGUGUAUUAAAUAAAAUGAAGUUAAGGCAUAAUAUGUAAAUUUUAUUGUUUUGAAGAAAUAAAAAUAAAAUGAAAAUAAAAUGGGUGAUAAAAUAAUGAAGAAAAGAUGUUGAAAAGUCAAAUAAUAUUUUUAUAUGUACAUGAGUUAAGAAUGGUGUGAAUGUGGUUUGAAUGGGAAUGAUGUGGUUUUGAUGGGAAUGAAGAAAAGUCAAAGUCAUUUAGAAGAAUACUAAAUUGGAACCAAGUGAAAUGGGUGGCCGGCCAAGUGAAUGGAG
rnacentral:lncRNA from 1 species